rnacentral:lncRNA from 1 species
AUUUUCCAGCAUCAAAUAUCAUCCCUGCCAAUCAUCUAAUCCUUUCACACUUUCAUUCUUUCUUUGAUCAUUUUCUAAGCUCUAAAAUCAUCAUCAUGGGUGUCUUCACAUACACAGACGAGUCCACCUCAGUCAUCCCCCCACCAAGAUUGUUCAAAGCCCUUGUUCUUGAAGCUGACACCCUCAUCCCCAAGAUUGCUCCCCAAUCAGUGAAAAGUGCUGAAAUUGUUGAAGGAGAUGGAGGUGUUGGAACCAUCAAGAAGAUUAGCUUUGGUGAAGGUUGGUUUCUGCCAUUGCCUCUUCUAAGUCUAACUUGUUUGCUUAAUUAAUAACAUAAAUCUUGAAAGCAUUAAUCUCUUAAUUUCUAAUUAUAAUCUCAUUUUACAGGAAGUCAUUACAGCUAUGUGAAGCACCGGAUCGACGGGCUUGACAAAGAUAACUUUGUGUACAGCUACAGUUUGGUCGAAGGAGAUGCUCUUUCAGACAAGGUUGAGAAAAUCAGUUAUGAGAUUAAGUUGGUGGCAUCUGCUGAUGGAGGUUCCAUCAUAAAGAGCACCAGCAACUACCACACCACAGGUGAUGUUGAGAUCAAGGAAGAAGAUGUUAAGGCUGGGAAAGAGAAGGCAACUGGUCUGUUCAAGCUUAUUGAGAACUACCUUGUGGCCAACCCAGAUGCCUACAACUAAAACCUUAAAUGAAAUAUACUGCAUGUGCUUUCUCUGUCAUUAUAUUGGUGUGGCUUUCAUUUUUCCUUUUCCUUUUCUUUUUCUUGUUUGUCAAGCCAGAGCUGCUUUGGUUUGCACCUAAG